UUAAAGUACAACUCUGGAUCUCUUGC
rnacentral:piRNA from 1 species